GAUGAACGCUGGCGGCGUGCCUAAUACAUGCAAGUCGAGCGAAAAGACGAGGAGCUUGCUCCUCUGACGUUAGCGGCGGACGGGUGAGUAACACGUGGAUAACCUACCUAUAAGACUGGGAUAACUUCGGGAAACCGGAGCUAAUACCGGAUCAUAUAUUGAACCGCAUGGAUCAAUAGUGAAAGACGGUUUUGCUGUCACUUAUAGAUGGAUCCGCGCCGCAUUAGCUAGUUGGUAAGGUAACGGCUUGCCAAGGCAACGAUGCGUAGCCGACCUGAGAGGGUGAUCGGCCACACUGGAACUGAGACACGGUCCAGACUCCUACGGGAGGCAGCAGUAGGGAAUCUUCCGCAAUGGGCGAAAGCUUGACGGAGCAACGCCGCGUGAGUGAUGAAGGUCUUCGGAUCGUAAAACUCUGUUAUUAGGGAAGAAAAAAUGUGUAAGUAACUAUGCACGUCUUGACGGUACCUAAUCAGAAAGCCACGGCUAACUACGUG
rnacentral:rRNA from 1 species